GAUUGGUAUCGGGACCCGGAUCCCGCGGGCGGGAGGAGCCGCUCUGGGGCGGGCGCCGGGGCCGAGUUCGGCCCUGCCGCUCCGGCUCCGGCCGGCGCGGGACUGCGGCCCCGCCGGGGCUCCGGGCACGGUCCCGCUCCGGCUGCGGGGAGCCGGGGCCGUGCCAGGGCUGUGCCGGGGCCGUGCCAGGGCUGUGCCGGGGCCAGCGGUGUUUUCCUCGUGCCUCGAUGUUCUGGGAGCCAGAGUGGCUGCCUUGCCCACCCACGUGCCCGUCCUUGGGCAGCCCCACGAGCACACCUGGCCUAGGAGCUGGCACUGAGCGUGCCGUGGGUCCCAGCACGGGCUGAUCCCAGCUCUGCCUUCGGCAUUUCCUGCCCUUCGUGCCUUUGGAACUUAGGGAAUUUCGAACAGCGACUUUUUCCCUGCCACCAAGAAGUUGCAGCUCCUCUGACAGCUGCCAGUUGGGGAAGGUCCUGCCUGGGAUGGAAAUGGCCACAAAAGAGGAAACUGAAAAAGGCCAAAACCAGAUGCUGCCACGUGAGUCAAGGCAGGGAAAGCCUCGGGAUGUUGAAGGUUUUAUUGUCCCGUGCUCCUGCACGGGGUGCCCGUCCUGUCUGGCGGCCCCGCGGCUUGAAACCUCUGCUGACGGCCAGUGCCAGCCUUGUUUCCUCCGAGGGACCCCACAGGGCCACCAGGAUGCCGCCAAAAUGGGAUCUUGGGGGCCCCAGUCCCCCCACAGCAUUAAAUGGCUCGAUCCUGGGGACCUUUUACAGGAGAGCAGCAAUUGCACGUGAAACUUUGAUGACCACUGAGAAAUGAGAGAAGCCUGUGAUAAAAAACCUUUUUUUAAAGAAUAAGACCAACAAUUUCUCUACAGCAGUUUAGCAGCUUCAAUUUCCAUUCUGUCCACAUGACACAGCAUCUAAUUCCAUCUCCUGAUCUGAUCUUGGCAAAAGGAAGAGUCACCUGCCCUCAGCAUAAAUAUUUAGUACAUAAAAUACUGACAAGAAACCCACUUUUAAUAAAUAUCUGCAGUUCUCA